GGGCCCGCACAAGCGGUGGAGCAUGUGGUUUAAUUCGAUGAUACGCGAGGAACCUUACCAGGGCUUAAAUGCAGAACGACAGGGGUGGAAACACCCUCUUCUUCGGACGGUCUGCAAGGUGCUGCAUGGUUGUCGUCAGCUCGUGCUGUGAAGUGUCGGGUUAAGUCCCAUAACGAGCGCAACCCCUAUUUCUAGUUGCCAGCGGUUCGGCCGGGGACUCUAGAAAAACUGCCAGCGUAAGCUGUGAGGAAGGUGGGGAUGACGUCAAAUCAUCACGGCCCUUACGUCCUGGGCUACACACGUGCUACAAUGGUAGGGACAGAGAGUUGCCAACCCGCGAGGGUGAGCUAAUCUUCAAACCCUAUCUCAGUUCGGAUCGGAGUCUGCAACUCGACUCCGUGAAGUUGGAAUCGCUAGUAAUCGCAUAUC
rnacentral:rRNA from 1 species